AACACUUCAAUGGAAAUGGCUCUCUCCAUCUUCUGCCAGGUUCGUGUGUCAGUCAUCGUCCAGACUCGGCUGCAGGUCCCAGGCGUCUCGAUGGAAGCAGGCAGCUGGAGUGGCAGUGAGAGCGGAGGAGAGGAAAUGGAGAGGAUGAGCGACUCGAACGAAAAGCCCACCGACAGCGACGCAGAGGGCGUAUGGAGCCCCGACAUCGAGCAGAGCUUCCAGGAGGCGCUGGCCAUCUACCCGCCCUGCGGCCGCCGCAAGAUCAUCCUCUCUGAUGAAGGGAAGAUGUACGGUCGUAAUGAACUGAUAGCCAGAUACAUCAAACUGAGGACUGGAAAGACAAGAACGAGAAAACAGGUCUCCAGUCACAUUCAGGUUCUGGCCCGGCGGAAAUCCAGAGAGCUUCACGCUAAACUUAAGGAUCAAAGCGUGAAGGACAAAGCGCUCCAGAGCAUGGCGGCCAUGUCUUCUGCUCAGAUCGUGUCGGCCACGGCCAUUCACAGCAAGCUGGGUCUGGCAGGCCUCCCUCAGCCCAGCUUCCCUGCAGCGCCGGGGUUUUGGCAGCUGCCCACGGGCCAUCCUGGAUCCUCACAAGACAUUAAGCCGUUUUCACAGCAAGCCUACCCCAUUCAGGCCGCCACGGCAUUAUCAGGUUACGAGCCUCCCAGAGCCCCUGCAGCCACUCCUCCAGCGUGGCAGGGACGCUCCAUCGGCACGAGCAAACUGCGACUCAUCGAGUUCUCCUCGUUCCUGGAGCAGGAGAGAGACCCCGAGUCUUACAACAAGCACCUGUUUGUACACAUCGGCCAGACGAGCCACUCGUACAGCGACCCGCUGCUGGAGUCAGUGGACAUCCGCCAGAUCUACGAUAAGUUCCCUGAGAAGAAAGGAGGCCUCAAGGAGCUUUUUGGGAAAGGGCCACAGAAUGCCUUCUUCUUAGUCAAGUUCUGGGCGGACCUGAACUGUAACGUCCAGGAGGACUCGGGCGCGUUCUACGGCGUGACCAGUCAUUACGAGAGUCCAGAUAACAUGACCAUCACCUGCUCUACUAAAGUGUGUUCAUUCGGGAAGCAGGUGGUAGAGAAAGUGGAGACGGAGUACGCACGCUUCGAGAACGGCCGAUUCGUGUACAAAAUAAACCGCUCGCCCAUGUGCGAAUACAUGAUCAACUUCAUCCACAAACUCAAGCACCUGCCUGAGAAGUACAUGAUGAACAGCGUGUUAGAGAACUUCACCAUCCUGCUGGUGGUGUCGAACAGAGAAACCCAGGAGACGCUGCUGUGCAUGGCGUGUGUGUUCGAGGUUUCCAACAGUGAGCACGGAGCUCAGCAUCACAUCUACAGACUGAUCAAAGAAUGAGAUGCUGCUUCAACCUCUCUUUCUCUUUAUCUCUCUCUCUCACACACACACACACACAUACACACACAUGCACACACUAAAGACACUGAGCUGCUGCCCUGCUGGUCAGAGAGAGCCAGACCGCAUCACUUCCUGUGUCCACGGAGGCCUCAUGUGUGGCGCCUUUGCUAUGAGCUGCUGUCCUGAGCGGCUCAGAGAGAUUUUACUCUCAGUGAUAAACUCGUAACUCUGAAGCGGCUGUGCCUCUGUGCGUAUAAACCCUCCGCUUCACUCGGUCACAGCUGGACGAUGCCUCUAAAGACUACAUUUUUGUCUUAAAUGUUCUGUAUUUUCUCGAUCUGCACGGGUGCAGGGAGUGACGGUGAAACGGAGUUAUAACUACUGAGGCAGAAUCUAGCUCAACCUUCUGCUCACUAUCUCCUCACUAAGGAAGUGACAUCAGACCCUUACUGAAAUACUGCAACACACACAGACCUGUAUGUAUAUUUCCUGCUUCACAAUAAACUGGAGGAGUUUCAGUUCUCUUUGCACUCCAUCCCCCGUGACUCUGUGACUCUGUGACUCUGUGACUCAGCUCCAGCAUCAGCAGCUCGUCAGCGCCUCCGUCUCGGUGCUGCUCGGUGAUCCGUCCGCUUUCCUGGUGAACAGCUGGCUCAGACAAACAUUCCUGGGUUAAACAGGUUUUAAACAUGGGACAUUUGUGUGAAAUAAAAUUGUGUAAUUGUCGAGAUGUUUCUGUACAGGCUUAAGCAGGUUUUUUUUUUUUUUUUUUUCAGAUGAAGGGAUGAUACAAAAUAUGUUUCAGUGUGUGUGCGUUUGGUACCGCGGUUAGUUAUUUUUCACUCUGUAACAUUUUCUCUUGAAUAAAGAAUAUUUUGAAUUUUU